rnacentral:rRNA from 1 species
UACGUAGGGUGCGAGCGUUGUCCGGAAUUAUUGGGCGUAAAGGGCUCGUAGGCGGUUUGUCGCGUCGGGAGUGAAAACCCAGGGCUUAACCCUGGGCUGGCUUCCGAUACGGGCAGACUAGAGGUAUGCAGGGGAGAACGGAAUUCCCGGUGUAGUGGUGAAAUUCGUAGAUAUUCGGAAGAACACCAGUGGCGAAGGCGACUUACUGGACGAUUGUUGACGCUGAGGUGCGAAAGCGUGGGGAGCAACAGG